CCUACGGGCGGCAGCAGUGGGGAAUAUUGGGCAAUGGGCGCAAGCCUGACCCAGCAACGCCGCGUGAAGGAAGAAGGCUUUCGGGUUGUAAACUUCUUUUCGCAGGGACGUAGCAAGUGACGGUACCUGAGGAAUAAGCCACGGCUAACUAUGUGCCAGCAGCCGCGGUAAUACGUAGGAGGCAAGCGUUAUCCGGAUUUACUGGGUGUAAAGGGCGUGUAGGCGGGGACGCAAGUCAGAUGUGAAAACCACGGGCUCAACCUGUGGCCUGCAUUUGAAACUGUGUUUCUUGAGUACCGGAGAGGCAGGCGGAAUUCCUGGUGUAGCGGUGAAAUGCGUAGAUAUUAGGAAGAACACCGGUGGCGAUGGCGGUCUGCUGGACAGCAACUGACGCUGAGGCGCGAAAGCGUGGGGAGCAAACAGGAUUAGAUACCCCGGUAGUC
rnacentral:rRNA from 1 species